rnacentral:sRNA from 1 species
AUGGCUCUCAGAAACGCAAAAUCCUUCUGUCUCUUAGAAAUUAAGCGACCUCCUCUCUCGGAUCUCUUCCCUCUCAGCCCCAUCCAUGGUGGAGUGACACAGGCAUGUCUGAUUCCUCGCUAAGCAUUGCAUCCGUGCUGCAACCAAUAAAUAGCCCAGCUAUCUACACACUGCCAUGUCUCGGAAAUCCAGUACCUCGAGCAGCAAGACCAACAACCUGCUCAGAUGAAACCACAGAUUGCAUCCUGCUCUAGUCUGACACACUAUAGGUGCACUGUCUGUUACCGCCACUAAAAUUUUCUGAUCAGUAAGCAGCUGUCCUGUAAUUAGAUUUGUCAGAGUAUUCAUGCAUUCUUGCUGCUUAGCGGGUUGCCUUGGAGUCUCGGGAGAGUGCAUGAGUGGCACACAGACUUUUGUAGGAGCAGAUUCUAUGGAAUUUUCAAGGUCAUCAUGGGCUGUUUCCUCCUUUGGACGUGAAUAACAGACAGAUGGCUUCUCAGUUCCUGCACCAACCUCUUGAUCAUCAUAGCUUUUCCCACGGUUUACUGCUUGAAUUUGAAAUCCUUCAUUUGUUAUUUCAAUGUAUAAGUCAGUUAAUUCCAACAAUUUAGCGAGCUUGUCCUCCACCGAAAGCUCUUGUGGCACAUUAAGCUGCUCGAAAUAUUGCCCAAGAUGCUCUUUCAAACUUUUAGUGUAGAACUCUGAAUGGGGAUUAUUCCAGUUCCAUUUUGAAUCGAUUCUCAUAUAUAUAU